UACGUAGGGAGCAAGCGUUGUUCGGAUUUACUGGGCGUAAAGGGCGCGUAGGCGGCAAAUUAAGUCAGCUGUGAAAUCUCCGAGCUUAACUCGGAACUGUCAGCUGAUACUGAUCUGCUAGAGUGCGGAAGGGGGAAUCGGAAUUCUUGGUGUAGCGGUGAAAUGCGUAGAGAUCAAGAGGAACCCCUGAGGUGAAGACGGGUUGCUGGGCCGACACUGGCGCUGAGUGCGCGAAAGCCAGGGGAGCAAACGGG
rnacentral:rRNA from 1 species